rnacentral:rRNA from 1 species
ACAUCCAGCGAAUUCGGUAGAGAUACCUUAGUGCCUUCGGGAACGCUGAGACAGGUGCUGCAUGGCUGUCGUCAGCUCGUGUUGUGAAAUGUUGGGUUAAGUCCCGCAACGAGCGCAACCCUUAUCCUUUGUUGCCAGCGGUCCGGCCGGGAACUCAAAGGAGACUGCCAGUGAUAAACUGGAGGAAGGUGGGGAUGACGUCAAGUCAUCAUGGCCCUUACGAGUAGGGCUACACACGUGCUACAAUGGCGCAUACAAAGAGAAGCGACCUCGCGAGAGCAAGCGGACCUCAUAAAGUGCGUCGUAGUCCGGAUUGGAGUCUGCAACUCGACUCCAUGAAGUCGGAAUCGCUAGUAAUCGUAGAUCAGAAUGCUACGGUGAAUACGUUCCCGGGCCUUGUACACACCGCCCGUCACACCAUGGGAGUGGGUUGCAAAAGAAGUAGGUAGCUUAACCUCCGGGAGGGCGCUUACCACUUUGUGAUUCAUGACUGGGGUGAAGUCGUAACAAGGUAGGCGUAGCGAG